GGAAAAUGAAUAAGAAUGAAAAAUUGCAAUCUAGAGUCUCAGAUGCAGAGUGCAAAAAAAGGAACAACAGACGAUGUAUCAGAUAAUGCUAUUUUUCCUAAAUUAGAGUAUCAAAUAGACUAUACUUAACAAAAUGAUAUGGAAAACGUUUCACCUCAAGAAGCAAAAAAUAUUUGCACUGAGCUUAAAUACAUACGGGAUUGGGAUGAAUUAAUACCAAAAUGGAAAAAAACUACAAAGUCCAAAAAUAAAAUAUGUUUCAGCAACAGGAAUCUGGAACAAAUUUUGGUGGAAUGACUAUUUAGAUACUUAAAAGCACCUGAGCUGAUUGAUAAUCUCUAUAUAUAAGGUUGAUAAGAUAGAAUUACUCACACUAUUCCGGCAUAAUAACUUUUAUUUUGAUUUAUGGAACAGUUUUUGUAAAGUUGCAGUGGAAAUUUUACAAUAAAGAUUAAAGAUGCUGCAAAUAAAACUUAUUAAAAAUAUUUAAAGAAAAAAUAGUAUGAUGGAUUCAGACAUGAUACAUCUUUGUAAUAUGAAGUUUCUAUUUGAAUUUUAUUACCGUCUACCAAGGUAAUCAAUGGAAAACGGACAAAAUAUACUAUUCAUGAUUCCCAAUGAUCAUUUACAUUACCAACAAUUUGGAAAGUCAAGUGAAUAGUGUCUUAAACGAAUUAACUGAUCAACAUUAUCAAAAUAAAUCGACUUUGCAACCAUUCAUUUUGAUUACCGGAGAAGAAUUUCGCUACCAAAAAUUCUAAAUUGUUCUGGCAGAUGCAAAAUUUCAAUUUAAUACUUAGAAACUAUUCAAUGUUGCUUCAAAUUAUUCUAUCGUAUUUUGGAAGGAAGUUUUUUUCGUUUUAAAUUAUUUAAGAAAUUGAACAUACGGAAUUAGCUCAUUAGCUUAUUUAGUUUAUAUAACUUUUUGCAUAAGGCUAAAAUAUUUAAAACACAAUAUUGUUUACAUUUAGAGUCAGUCAUUAAUUAUACAGAAUUAACAGAAUUAAAAAUAAGUUUAAAUUUUAUAACAAUUUUUUUUUAAAGGAUAGAUAUAAGCAAUAAUUAAAUUCAUUUUGGAAAGU